rnacentral:rRNA from 1 species
UACGAAGGGGGCGAGCGUUGUUCGGAUUUACUGGGCGUAAAGGGCGCGUAGGCGGCGGGUCAAGUCGAGUGUGAAAGCCCCGGGCUCAACCUGGGAGGUGCGCUCGAGACUGGUCUGCUUGAGUUCGGGAGAGGAGAGUGGAAUUCCCAGUGUAGAGGUGAAAUUCGUAGAUAUUGGGAAGAACACCGGUGGCGAAGGCGGCUCUCUGGACCGAGACUGACGCUGAGGCGCGAAAGCGUGGGGAGCAAACAGG